rnacentral:lncRNA from 1 species
AUUUAGAUAAGUGGACAUAUGCAAGGGUAAAGGAUGAUCGCGAAAUACAAAUGAAGUUCUCAUAAUCGGAUUGCACAUGAUUGGAAAAUAAGUAUGGAUCAAUCCUUAAUCUUGAGAGCACUGGCAACUUUAACGAGGCUCAAAGAACUGAGGAGCGUUUUAUUCUUUUUCUCCUUUAUUUUUUUCUUUUUCAUUCCCUUUUCUCUUCUUUCUUCUUUCUUUCUUUUUCCUCAUCUUUUUUUCCUCUU